GACGAACGCUGGCGGCGUGCUUAACACAUGCAAGUCGAACGGAAAGGCCCUGCUUUUGUGGGGUGCUCGAGUGGCGAACGGGUGAGUAACACGUGAGUAACCUGCCCUUGACUUUGGGAUAACUUCAGGAAACUGGGGCUAAUACCGGAUAGGAGCUCCUGCUGCAUGGUGGGGGUUGGAAAGUUUCGGCGGUUGGGGAUGGACUCGCGGCUUAUCAGCUUGUUGGUGGGGUAGUGGCUUACCAAGGCUUUGACGGGUAGCCGGCCUGAGAGGGUGACCGGCCACAUUGGGACUGAGAUACGGCCCAGACUCCUCCGGGCGGCAGCAGUGGGGAAUAUUGCACAAUGGGCGGAAGCCUGAUGCAGCAACGCCGCGUGCGGGAUGACGGCCUUCGGGUUGUAAACCGCUUUCGCCUGUGACGAAGCGUGAGUGACGGUAAUGGGUAAAGAAGCACCGGCGAACUACGU
rnacentral:rRNA from 1 species